rnacentral:rRNA from 1 species
GCGCAGUUGCGCUUGCUACACAUGCAAGUCGAACGGGACUAGCAAUACAUUAGUGGCGGACGGGUGAGUAACGCGUGAGAAUCUGCCAACAGGACUGGGACAUGUGUGGGAAACCGCUGCUAAUCCCGGAUGUACCCAAAGGGAAAAGAUUUAUCGCCUGUUGAUGACCUCGCGUCUGAUUAGCUAGUUGGUGGGGUAAAAGCCUACCAAGGCAUCGAUCAGUAGCUGGUCUGAGAGGACGAUCAGCCACACUGGGACUGAAACACGGCCCAUACUCCUACGGGAGGCAGCGGUGGGGAAUUUUCCGCAAUGGGCGAAAGCCUGACGGAGCAAGACCGCGUGAGGGAGGAAGGCUCUUGGGUUGUAAACCUCUUUUCGCUGGGAAGAUUAUAAUGACGGUACCAGAGGAAUCAGCAUCUGCUAACUCCGUGCCAACGGCCGCGGUAAGACGGAGGAUGCAAGCGUUAUCCGGAAUGAUUGGGCGUAAAGCGUCCGCAUGUGGCAAUUCAAGUCUGCUGUUAAAGCGCAGGCCUUAGCUCUGUAAAGGCAGUGGAAACUGAAUAUCUUGAGUGUGGUAGGUGCAGAUGGAAUUCCCAGUGUAGCGGUGAAAUGCGUAGAGAUUAAGAAGAACAUCGGAGGCGCAGGCGCUCUGCUGGACCAUAACUGACACUCACAGAACGAAAGCUACGGAAGCGAAUGGGAUUAGAUACCCCGAUACUCCUAACCGUAAACGAUGGAUACUAGGUGUAGUCUGUAUCCUCCCGGACAGUGCCGUAGCUAACGCGUUAAGUAUCCCGCCUGGGGAGUACGCACGCAAGUGUGAAACUCAAAGGAAUUGACGCGGGCCCGCACAAGCGGUGGAGUAUGUGGUCUACUUCGAUGCAACGCGAAGAACCUUACCAGGACUUGACAUGUCGCUAAUCUGAGUGAAAGCUCCAAGUGCCUUCGGGAGCGCGAACACAGCUGGUGCAUGGCUGUCGUCAGCUCGUGUCAUGAGAUGUUGGGUUAAGUCCCGCAACGAGCGCAACCCUCGUUUUUACUUGCCAUCAUUAAGUGGUCACUCUAAAGAGACUGCCGGUGACAACGGAGACGUGAGAUACGCACUCAGUGCUCUACUCUGGCUACCCUCAGAUGUAAGACGAGGCACUAUCGGAGGUACUAUCCGAACCUGCUCAUAGAUCCAGCCCACCGCUGCUAAGAGAUCUUCAUCCCGUGGAUGGGAUGAUCUUCCGGCU